CCUACGGGUGGCAGCAGUGGGGGAUAUUGCGCAAUGGGGGCAAGCCUGACCCAGCGACGCCGCGUGAGGGAAGAAGGCUUUCGGGUUGUAAACUUCUUUUCUCAGGGACGAAACAAGUCACGGUACCUGAAGAAUAAGACACGGCUCACUGCGUGACAGCAGCCGCGGUAAUACGUAGGUGGCAAGCGUUAUCCGGAUUUACUGGGUGUAAAGGGCGUGUAGGCGGGACUGCAAGUCAGAUGUGAAAACCACGGGCUCAACCUGUGGCCUGCAUUUGAAACUGUAGUGCUGGAGUACUGGAGAGGCAGACGGAAUUCCUAGUGUAGCGGUGAAAUGCGUAGAUAUUAGGAGGAACACCAGUGGCGAAGGCGGUCUGCUGGACAGCAACUGACGCUGAGGCGCGAAAGCGUGGGGAGCAAACAGGAUUAGAUACCCGGGUAGUC
rnacentral:rRNA from 1 species